GACGAACGCUGGCGGCGUGCCUAAUACAUGCAAGUAGAACGCUGAAGAGAGGAGCUUGCUCUUCUUGGAUGAGUUGCGAACGGGUGAGUAACGCGUAGGUAACCUGCCUUGUAGCGGGGGAUAACUAUUGGAAACGAUAGCUAAUACCGCAUAACAAUGGAUGACCCAUGUCAUUUAUUUGAAAGGGGCAAAUGCUCCACUACAAGAUGGACCUGCGUUGUAUUAGCUAGUAGGUGAGGUAGCGGCUCACCUAGGCGACGAUACAUAGCCGACCUGAGAGGGUGAUCGGCCACACUGGGACUGAGACACGGCCCAGACUCCUACGGGAGGCAGCAGUAGGGAAUCUUCGGCAAUGGGGGCAACCCUGACCGAGCAACGCCGCGUGAGUGAAGAAGGUUUUCGGAUCGUAAAGCUCUGUUGUAAGUCAAGAACGAGUGUGAGAGUGGAAAGUUCACACUGUGACGGUAGCUUACCAGAAAGGGACGGCUAACUACGUG
rnacentral:rRNA from 1 species